UUAUGAAUCAUAUAUUUAUUUAAUUGUUCCUGCAUUAUAUAAUUAUUAAAACGGUGAUAAUUUCCGAAUACAGUAAAAUAGUAGGUAUUGUAUAAUGGGUGUACGAAGCGUCGAAGCAUAUUCGUUCAUAAAUAUCCAUUAUCCAUUAUAUUUCAAGAACGAGUACACACUUGAAUACUUGAUCUUUUAGCGUGGAACAAUACGAAUCUGAGUAUAAUAGUAACUAAAAAAAAUGUACCGAUUGUACCGAUGCAACGAGUAUUUUGGAUUCGGUACUUUAUUCAUUUAUUGUAACUGUGCCGAUUGGAACGAUUCUACAAAAGGAACGAUAAUUCCCACCACCAUUUGCCAACCAUAUAGUGGCGCUCUUUAAAAAUGUGGUGACAUUUUUAAACGUUUUUCCACAAACAAGCGGGACAUUGUCUAUAGGCUAGGGGGGGGGGGAGAGACGUGGUCCGAUCUGAUCGUGGUGAAGACUGAUGGUGCGCGCCGCGCGGAUGCCAGGCGGUGGAUAUCUUAGGUUAUUUAGUCAUGAUUAUAACUAUAUAUAUUACUCUGCCCAAUGUCCGUAUUAGCGCUAUUGUAGCCAUUUACGGGUUUGUCACUGCUGCUGCCGCCUGCCUGUUGUUUUGUUAGCGGUUGUGCCAUCCCGUUCCGUCCCGUCCCGGGUAAUAUAAUGUAUAUUGUCAUAAUGUUACGUACUUUUAACUUUUUAUUUUUUAAGUCAUUUCUCAUUUGUCACACUUGCGUGCUGUAUGCUAGUAUUUACGUUGUACAAUAUUUUAUAUCACAUCGCAGUAAUGACCAUCCUCAAUCAUGGAUUUCAGUCGUCCGUUCCUUCGAUUCAACUGGAUGAAAUCGCCUUGUUAUGGAUGUACAUAUAUAGGAGUCUGACCAUAUGGCGUUAGUGGACAUCCAUUCCUGUUCUCUCUCGGGACGAUCAGACGCUUGGUACUACUUGUCCCGUCGGAACGAUGCUACUUCAUAGGUAAGUAGGCAUUAGCUUAGCUAUUAUACUUAUUGAAUAGAUUGUUGAAUGAAUUUAUUUAUUUACUUACACAUUUUAAUUUUUAAUUUUUCUACUAAUUAAGUAUAAUUUAGGUAAUUGAAUUCAAAUAAUCAGUUUAAAAGACAAUAUAAUCAAUAUCAAUAGCUGAAUAGAUUUUAUCGAGUCCUUGUACUAUAAUAAUUAUAAUCACCUAUCAUCAAGUAGAGCAGCGGUUCUCAAACUUUUAUUUCGCGUACCACUCAUGUGUAUUAUUAAUCUGUCGCGUACCAUGUAUGUCUAUUUCCAUGUGAUCAUGUUCAAACACAAAUUGAAAUAUUCAUUUAUUUACUCUGUUCUAUCACCUUGUGGCCUUUCGCGUUCCGACAUGUAGUCUUCCGCGUACCAUUGUUUGAGAACCUCUGAAGUAGAGUAUAUUAAUUUGUGUUAUCUACCUCGGUAGGUACAAUAUCAUUAAUUUGCAAUGUGUAAGAGUGAUGCUGUAGUGGUCCAGCCGGCUAUCUUGUCGUAUGCGCUCUACUGGCGACAUUAUGACUGCAGUAUGUGCUCUACCGCUUGAUUGCACUCUACCGUUUUUACCACUCUAAUUGUAAGCAAUUUAAGUUAUUUUUAUUUUUAUUAUACCAUACUUCAUACACAGGUGUUACGACAAACAUCACAGUUUAGAUAAUUUUGAAAAUAAUAAUAUUAUCUGGGCCGGCACGGAUUAUGAUAACAAUUUAUAAAUUGAAAAAUAAUAAUAAUGAAAAACAAUAACACACAUAAAAUUAUAUAAAUAAUUAAUGAAUUAGUCAAGUGUGAUACCAUUUCAAAUAUUGCAAACAAUUAUAAAUUAUAAUGUGUUGUAUAAAAUACUAUAAAAAAUGCUAUAAAUUAUUUAUAUAAGACCGUUCGUCAUCGUCAUAAU